rnacentral:lncRNA from 1 species
AUUAGGCAAAUUGAUAGCCCUACAAUGGCCUCUAAGUGUUCACGUGAAAAGAAGAAUCACAGACCUCUCAUUUGAAAUUCAUGUUGUUUUCAUGCCUGCUAACACAACAUCCAUUCUGCAGCGCAUGGAUCAAGGGUUAAUUUUGAUUUUCAAUGUUAUUAUUUAAAUAUAUUUCAUAAUGCUAUGGCUGCCAUAGAUAGUGAUUCCAUUAAUGGAUCUGAAAUUGAAGGAAAAGUAAAGAUGUUUCUGGAAGGCACCAGGAGUCCUGUCUGCACUGAGCACCAUGAAGUUCACCUGCAUUGAGUUCUUUCCCUUUGUACAACACUUACUCCCAGACCAAAAAAUAACUCCUUCUCUCCAAUCUGUGUUCCAGGCAAACCAAUAGACUCCAGUUGUCUCCCGAAAUGCUUAAAGUGCUUUUCCAAUAUCCACUAUGUUUGGGCAACAUAUUAAAAAUAUACAACAAA